rnacentral:lncRNA from 1 species
GCAUUUAGCGUAACACAGAUAUGAUGUAUACAGAAAUGCAUUCAAGAAAAGAUCAAACCAGGAGGCUGCCUGUCUGCAUUUGGACUUUAAACCGCUUGGUUUUAAUAACUCUUAAAUAUAGAUCCCAAUGUAUAGGCUUGGUGUGAAUAUCAUUAAACCUUUCCCACUGUUCCCUUAAGCUUUGAAUGUUCACUGAUCCGUGAAGAUAGCAAAUGGAUAAAUAAACUUAGACCUGGCAAAUCAGAGAGAUUUUAGAAAUAGAGCUGAUCUUGACUUUUUUUUAACGCAAAGAUUUAUGUUGCCUGGUAUAUUUAUUUUUUUAAAAGAAAAAGACAGAAAUUAAAAUAACACACAUAAACUGACUAGCACUAUUUUUUAAUGAAUUAAAAAGUGGUGGGGUUAUUAACGUGUAUCCUAGCCUGCUUGUCUUUCCACCUUCAUUUCCCAUUUGCUGGUCGUUGCAUGAAUUUUAUUUGGCCUGAACCCCAGAGUACAAAAGAGAGGUAAUGAAGAGGGAAGGCACCAAGGGAGAGGGACCCUAAGGGCUGAGAAAAUUGUUUCCGCCACUCACUUUAAUCCACGUAUUGUUUUUCUGAACCUUCCUUUUGGUGAGUGUUCAGCUAUGUUCAGUGUUGCCAAAAAGCACGGAAGAUGAACCCUAAAAGGACUCUUUGGCUUGAGGCAACCAGGAGCCACUGGUGACCUUGUGAAAUCGGGUCCUGUAGAAAGAUGAUUUCAGACACACUGCUAGGAUACUGCCUCUACUCACUGAAGCAGAAUCCUCUGAAGAGUUGCUGAGGCAGAACUGAAAUCAUGGCUCACCUCAAAGAAGCAGCAGUAUUGGCCGUUAACGAUGCCUCAUACAGAAAGACGGUGCUCCUUUAACUCGGGGUUUUAAUGGGAAGUUUCUAAGCCUGAAACAACAGCUUUAGACCUGGGGUGUGCCAUCAACUGCCUUGCAGCUACCACUGUCUACUGCUUUCACACAGCGUGGUCGGGAAGAAUGGAAACUAAAGAGGCUUGUAACUACCUGUAACUGUUCCACCAGGACAUGGAUCAAGUGUUUGUUCAGCCAGAGCCAGUCACCUAAAACGUCCAACCUUCCAAAAUGUAACAAGGAUGCUCUGAUUUGUUUACAAAGGAUCACAACUCAACCACUCUUAUUGAUAGCGUUGACUGUCCUUGGCUGAUAAGCUGUGUGCAGCACUAGCCUUUUGAGGUAUGAGCAAGUAGCUGUUUUCACUAUGAAACACACAAAGAAAGACAAAGAAAACCAGGUGAAACAAUAGGGCUUAUUAUUUGAAGCUAAAAGUUCCAGUUUGCUAAGGGUGCCUUCUGAUACCACUGGUUCCUGACUGAGCACCCUCAUGGUAUUUUCUGAUGUUCUCAGCUAGGCAGCAGCCUUGCCCUGCAGUCCCUUAAAAAUUC